rnacentral:lncRNA from 1 species
UUUUUUUUUUUUUUUUUUUUGGUUUUUUUUUUUCUUUCGGCUUUUUUUUUUUGUUUUGUUUUUGUUUUGUUUUGUUUUGUUUUUAUCAAAGUCUCUACUUCCAGGGGCUUUUGGUAUAGUAAGUGCUGUAGUAAAAGACACACGCUAAGCUGACCAUCCACCUGUCCCUCUCCUACAGCAGUGGCUGGGUUCCUGUGCAGAGCCUGACACCGUAGUGUGUAUCCCACCCGCUGCAGCUUUAGCUUCUAGAACCUCAGCUGGGUUCCUCCCUCCCACUCUGUAUAUCCAUCCAUCAGCACCUUCUUUACCUUCUUUUCCCUUCUCACCAGAAUACUUUUUACAGCCUUAAGUCCCGGCCACAUUCCGUCGUCGUAUGACUUUACUUCAAAUGUCAAAAGAAGAUUGAUGCCCCCCACAUCUCUGGUUCCACACCAUUUCCUUUCCUUCGCAAUUCUUUGAGAGGAUUCUGUGUUCAAUAUCUCUGUGGUCUGAAUGUAACUCAUUAACCCCUUGCAUCCUAACUUCUGUGCCCGUCACACUAGGAAAAGCACUCACUUUAAUUCCAUUAUUAGAAGAAAAUAAAUUUUUAUCUCUUCCAUAGUAGCAAAGUGAGCACCUUAUUGGGACUAGUAGGAUAUAGUCAAGCCUGCUCAAAUAGAGCCCCUGCAGUGACUUUCUGUUAUUUUUAUAUAGCUUUCGUUGUUGUCGUUUGGUUGGUUGGUUGGUUGUUUUGUUGUUGUUUCUGUGUGUGUCUGUGUUUUUGUUUUUGUUGUUUUUCAGAGCCUUGUGUCAGAGACUGGACUAGCCAUUCAUGAAACAUUUCUUCUUCCUGGACGUAUAGCUAGUCUGAAUCUCCCAAUUUCCUUUGCAAGUUGGAGCCAUGUAGAUGACUUUUAGCCCGUGAAAUGUGAAUGGAAGUGAUGCACUCAUUUCCAGGCUUAAUAAAGUUCCUCCCGUCUUCCCUUAUUCUUUCUCCAUCAGCUUAUAACUAGUAUCAUAACCUUGAAAACUAUAUGUCGGAGAUGCCAGUGCCAGAAGAGAGGCACAUGAGUAGCUAAAUCAUUACUUGGAAGCCUGCCACUCCAAAUAAUUAAUUAAUAAAUAAAUAAAUAAAUAAAUAAAUAAAACAAACAAACCUCUUUGGGGCUUAUUAUAAGAGAAAAUUGAGAUUUGAGAAUUUAUGUAUUAUAGGAGCUAGAAUGACCAUAACUAAUCUGGAGCUUGGUACCAGAAGGGGAAUACUGCUAGGACAGUCAUCUAAAAUAUGUUGCAUUGUCCUAGUGAUGAUGUAGCAGAGGUUGUAGAAACUGAUAUAGGAGGCUGAAAGGAGACCUAGGUUUUCUAGGGGCAACAUAAUUGAAAAGUAUAUCACCUAUCUAUUGAGACUAGUUCUAGAGGAAAUAGUUCAAAAGAAUUUAAAAGUGAUAGUGUAUUUUGAAUUUUACAUUUUGCUUUUAGCAAGGUUUUUCUAAAAAGAUGAGCUCAAGGAAAGAAUUGCAGAAAUGAAAAUGCAUAAGAAUACUUGGAAGGAUUGACUUUCUAGAAGACUUUUCCAAGACUUUCUUGGAAGGAUUCUGACUUUCUAGACCUUGAGUGGUAACAAAUGAAAUGGAAGAAGCCUUGACUAUAGUUCAGGAACAAAGAUAUCAACGCUUUCUUGUUCCCAACCAAGCCAUUAUUUUAGAUGGCCUGAAGGUGGCUGGGAUGAAGUUCUAGAGAAACAGGCAUGAGGACAAGGAAGCAAAGAAGUAAAUCAGGUUUGAGAAUUAUGUAAGAAAGAACUUUGGGUUGGGACACCUGGCUGGCUCAGUCAGAAGGGCAUGUGACUCUUGAUCUCAGGGUCAUGAGUUCAAACCCCCAAGUUGGGUGUAGAAAUUACUUAAAUACUAAACUUAAAAAAGAAAGAAAGAAUGAACGAACUUUGGGUGUAGUUACUGGAAGCAAAUCAUCACAAGACUAAAUUUUUCAAGGACUUUUAUUACUAAUCAAAUUAUUAACUUGGUUCAAAUGUUAUUCAAGUAUUAAAACAGUAAGGCCCCAGGCUUUCAUAAAAAAGAAAAUAGGGCAUAAACACUUUAUAGCAUCCCGGUACCCACAUAGGAUGUGGCAUGGAGAAUAUCGGACAACAUAUCAGAGGUUGAUACCGGGAGCUAUACAGAAGACAAAGGACAACAGAGUUCUCCCAAAGACUAGACUGAGGUCCCAUCAAGUCUUCUUCUACUCUCAAGGAAGGUGGAUCACAAAAUGUCCGUGCAGUAUUUCAUCAUCAUUAUGUAUUCACAUUGCCUAGUAUCUCACAUUUUUCUCUUCCCAAUAAGACUAUAAUGUAAUUACCUAUCUCUGAUUUACCACUGUACAUUGGGUUUGUGGAAGCAUGGGGUUAUAUUAGAGAUAACUUGUCUUUUUAGUUCAUGGGUUACACAUGGACCUAAGAGGACUGCACACUACUUAUAAACCUAGACUUUAAGCCUGACCUAGUAACUCAACAGAAUUUUAGGUUGUCUCUGUUGGAGUUGGAUGUAAUCUCUGUGUGGGAAGAGAAGGUAAAAUAGAUAUCUAGUGAUCAGAAUAGUGGACUCUUGCAGAUACUAGAUUCUUUUUCUGGGCACACAGAUUAUAUUUCCCUACCUCCCUUGCAAUUAGGCUUGCCGGUGAGGGGUGCCAAUUAGGUUCUAACAGGUGGGAUAUGAGUAGAAGUGAUGUGUUCCUGUUGCAGCUGUGGUCUAGAAAAAUAGCACAUGAAAAGUCCAAGAUCUCCACGUUCCCCACCAACUCAAGGCCGAUGAACACAGUUGUAUUAGAAGCCAUGUGUUGAAGAUGGCCAAGCCACAGGGUAAAAGGACUCACUUGGAUUAGAGUUUAUAUGCAUUCUUUUGUGUUAAACCACAGAUUUGGAAAUUACCCUAAUAUAAUCCUAGCCUUCUUUCCCAAGAUGCAACUGUCCAUUACCCAUGAUACCACAGGAAUGGGCCCAUGAAUCAGGUCAGCCAAAGUACCUUAACUACACAGUCCUAAUGAUCGGUUCAGGCAUGGGCAAGCUAACAAAACAAAGCCAAUCAGAAAAAGUCUCACCAUUUUGGCUAGCACUAUUGAGAAAGAGGUACCUCAGUCUGGAAUUAUGCAAAAACUUAACUCUCUAUGGCCUAUCAUCGCCUUGUGCAGUGGACUUGCCUGAGAAUGAAAUUGUAAGAGAAGAGCCCAUGAUUGGAGACAUGUACUUCCUGGCUCUCUCCCUAGAGUUAAUAUACCAAGGGUAAGGGAUAGAUACUACCAGGAAGACUUCAGAAUUCAAACAGAGCUUGUGGCUUAUUCCUAGCUCCCCACCAGGAAGUUUGCCCAACAAGGACAACUACAAAAAAAUAAAAAA